UAAACAGCAAGUUAUUGUUAAGAAUUCUAGCAGAAAGAGUCAAAAAGUUAUAAUAUUUCUUUUUUUUUCUAUUGGCAGGUGGACAUGGAUAUGGAUGAUUCAGACUGUGGUGAUGAAGCACCUAAAUUGCAGGAUAAGGAAGAUGUUGAGCUGACAGACCCAAAAUCAUUGGGUAAUGCACCUGAUGAUGGUAUGUCUUAAAUUGCAUUGAUAAUUUUAGUGGACAUAAUACACUUCCAUCAUUUAGUUUUUUCUUUGCUUGCAUGAUUUUGUAACAUGUGUAACAUGGGCGUGUGGUUAUCUUGCUGCAGAUAUGAUGUAAUGAGCUUAUUGGCUAAGCUCUAUCUUGUUCUUUUAUCAGUUCUGUAGGAUUAACAAGUGAAUAAAGAGAUGUUGUUAAUGCCAAACAUUAUCUUGUAGGGUAUUAAGCCCAAUAUUUAUACUUAUAAAUACCAAAACUUUCAGGUGCAAGGUUGCCUAUAUUGGUACCAGGAUCCGUACUGGUUGGCUGGCAGUGAGUACGGUACAGUAUUGUAUCGUACCAUUUCGGGGUGUGCUGACACAACACGAGUUGGAGAGGAAGGGGA
rnacentral:lncRNA from 1 species